AUUGAACGCUGGCGGCAUGCUUUCACAUGCAAGUCGAACGGCAGCGCGGGGCAACCUGGCGGCGAGUGGCGAACGGGUGGGUAAUAUAUCGGAACGUACCCAAGAGUGGGGGAUAACGUAGCGAAAGUUACGCUAAUACCGCAUACGAUCUAAGGAUGAAAGCGGGGGAUCGCAAGACCUCGUGCUCCUGGAGCGGCCGAUAUCUGAUUAGCUAGUUGGUGAGGUAAAGGCUCACCAAGGCGACGAUCAGUAGCUGGUCUGAGAGGACGACCAGCCACACUGGAACUGAGACACGGUCCAGACUCCUACGGGAGGCAGCAGUGGGGAAUUUUGGACAAUGGGCGCAAGCCUGAUCCAGCAAUGCCGCGUGAGUGAAGAAGGCCUUCGGGUUGUAAAGCUCUUUUGUCAGGGAAGAAACGGUAGAGGCUAAUAUCCUUUGCUAAUGACGGUACCUGAAGAAUAAGCACCGGCUAACUACGUGCCAGCAGCCGCGGUAAUACGUAGGGUGCAAGCGUUAAUCGGAAUUACUGGGCGUAAAGCGUGCGCAGGCGGUUUUGUAAGUCUGUCGUGAAAGCCCCGGGCUCAACCUGGGAAUUGCGAUGGAGACUGCAAGGCUUGAAUCUGGCAGAGGGGGGUAGAAUUCCACGUGUAGCAGUGAAAUGCGUAGAGAUGUGGAGGAACACCGAUGGCGAAGGCAGCCCCCUGGGUCAAGAUUGACGCUCAUGCACGAAAGCGUGGGGAGCAAACAGGAUUAGAUACCCUGGUAGUCCACGCCCUAAACGAUGUCUACUAGUUGUCGGGUUUUAAUUAACUUGGUAACGCAGCUAACGCGUGAAGUAGACCGCCUGGGGAGUACGGUCGCAAGAUUAAAACUCAAAGGAAUUGACGGGGACCCGCACAAGCGGUGGAUGAUGUGGAUUAAUUCGAUGCAACGCGAAAAACCUUACCUACCCUUGACAUGUCAGGAAGUCCGGAGAGAUCUGGAUGUGCCCGAAAGGGAACCUGAACACAGGUGCUGCAUGGCUGUCGUCAGCUCGUGUCGUGAGAUGUUGGGUUAAGUCCCGCAACGAGCGCAACCCUUGUCAUUAGUUGCUACGCAAGAGCACUCUAAUGAGACUGCCGGUGACAAACCGGAGGAAGGUGGGGAUGACGUCAAGUCCUCAUGGCCCUUAUGGGUAGGGCUUCACACGUCAUACAAUGGUACAUACAGAGGGCCGCCAACCCGCGAGGGGGAGCUAAUCCCAGAAAGUGUAUCGUAGUCCGGAUCGCAGUCUGCAACUCGACUGCGUGAAGUUGGAAUCGCUAGUAAUCGCGGAUCAGCAUGUCGCGGUGAAUACGUUCCCGGGUCU
rnacentral:rRNA from 1 species